rnacentral:misc_RNA from 1 species
GCCUGGGAAGCACACUCGCAAGGGUGAAACUCAAAGGAAUUGACGGGGGCCCGCACAAGCGGCGGAGCAUGUGGAUUAAUUCGAUGCAACGCGAAGAACCUUACCUGGGUUUGACAUGCACUAGACGCGUCUAGAGAUAGGCGUUCCCUUGUGGCUGGUGUGCAGGUGGUGCAUGGCUGUCGUCAGCUCGUGUCGUGAGAUGUUGGGUUAAGUCCCGCAACGAGCGCAACCCUCGUUCCAUGUUGCCAGCGGGUUAUGCCGGGGACUCAUGGGAGACUGCCGGGGUCAACUCGGAGGAAGGUGGGGAUGACGUCGUACACCUGAAC